rnacentral:piRNA from 1 species
UCUUCAGAAAUGAUUGAGUUGCUUGACAUG